UUUGAGGAUAGGGAUUCUAACCAGAAGAAGGUACCACAGGUGUGACAAAGGGGAUAUGGACAUGGCAGUAGAGAACGGCCAGCAGAACUAAGGUUGUAUUUUAUUUCUGACUUAGUUCCCAUGAUGACUCAGGAAUUCUCUCACUCUUAAAGGAAAGAGGCUUGGCUUGACACCGUACUGCAAGUUUCGGAAGUUCCAGUGUCAGAUGUUGUUCCUAGAGGAGAGACACUCUGAGAACUUGUGAGAGUGAAAAAAUCGUCCCCACACAGGAGGACAUCAGCCGGAGGGUUCCCAGACAUUAGUAGUGUUAUAAUAGGAAAGUUCUGCAUGAAAUUGGCUCCUGGUGUGAAAUGCAAGACUUCAGGUUCAAAGAUACUAGUGAAAUACAGACCUUGUUUUAUUCAUUAACUCCUAUAAGCAAGUGCAACUAUUUAGCUAAACAAUCCAAGACCUAGCUUGACUGUUUGAUGUAUACACAGAAGGCUGAUUGUCCUUUCCUGAAACACAGAGAUGUUUGGGGAAAAGUCACAAAGUACACUGUGAAAAGCUGCAGAAUGUUCCAAGAUUCCUAGAAGAACUGGGCCAGCUCACCAAACAGAACCGACUCUUCUUUCAUUCUGCAGAAAACCUACCUUACCUUAACAAUUGUACAUCUACGCAGAGAAAAAGAACAAAAGGUUUCCAUGCUAAGAAAAACACCACCAUCUCCCCUUGUCUCAUGAAGACCAUUAGAGCUGGCUGAACUGGAAUGGAAAAAGCAAUAGCGUAUCAUCAUGGUUUUGUACUUAUAUGGAAUUGUUCCUUUGAGAAUUUCGAAGAG